UUGAACGCUGGCGGCAGGCCUAACACAUGCAAGUCGAACGGUAACAGAAAGCAGCUUGCUGCUUUGCUGACGAGUGGCGGACGGGUGAGUAAUGUCUGGGAAACUGCCCGAUGGAGGGGGAUAACUACUGGAAACGGUAGCUAAUACCGCAUAACGUCGCAAGACCAAAGAGGGGGACCUUCGGGCCUCUUGCCAUCGGAUGUGCCCAGAUGGGAUUAGCUAGUAGGUGGGGUAACGGCUCACCUAGGCGACGAUCCCUAGCUGGUCUGAGAGGAUGACCAGCCACACUGGAACUGAGACACGGUCCAGACUCCUACGGGAGGCAGCAGUGGGGAAUAUUGCACAAUGGGCGCAAGCCUGAUGCAGCCAUGCCGCGUGUAUGAAGAAGGCCUUCGGGUUGUAAAGUACUUUCAGCGGGGAGGAAGGGAGUAAAGUUAAUACCUUUGCUCAUUGACGUUACCCGCAGAAGAAGCACCGGCUAACUCCGUGCCAGCAGCCGCGGUAAUACGGAGGGUGCAAGCGUUAAUCGGAAUUACUGGGCGUAAAGCGCACGCAGGCGGUUUGUUAAGUCAGAUGUGAAAUCCCCGGGCUCAACCUGGGAACUGCAUCUGAUACUGGCAAGCUUGAGUCUCGUAGAGGGGGGUAGAAUUCCAGGUGUAGCGGUGAAAUGCGUAGAGAUCUGGAGGAAUACCGGUGGCGAAGGCGGCCCCCUGGACGAAGACUGACGCUCAGGUGCGAAAGCGUGGGGAGCAAACAGGAUUAGAUACCCUGGUAGUCCACGCCGUAAACGAUGUCGACUUGGAGGUUGUGCCCUUGAGGCGUGGCUUCCGGAGCUAACGCGUUAAGUCGACCGCCUGGGGAGUACGGCCGCAAGGUUAAAACUCAAAUGAAUUGACGGGGGCCCGCACAAGCGGUGGAGCAUGUGGUUUAAUUCGAUGCAACGCGAAGAACCUUACCUGGUCUUGACAUCCACGGAAGUUUUCAGAGAUGAGAAUGUGCCUUCGGGAACCGUGAGACAGGUGCUGCAUGGCUGUCGUCAGCUCGUGUUGUGAAAUGUUGGGUUAAGUCCCGCAACGAGCGCAACCCUUAUUGUUAGUUGCCAUCAUUUAGUUGGGCACUCUAGCGAGACUGCCGGUGACAAACCGGAGGAAGGUGGGGAUGACGUCAAAUCAUCAUGCCCCUUAUGACCUGGGCUACACACGUGCUACAAUGGGAAGUACAACGAGUCGCUAGACCGCGAGGUCAUGCAAAUCUCUUAAAGCUUCUCUCAGUUCGGAUUGCAGGCUGCAACUCGCCUGCAUGAAGCCGGAAUCGCUAGUAAUCGCGGAUCAGCACGCCGCGGUGAAUACGUUCCCGGGCCUUGUACACACCGCCCGUCACACCAUGGGAGUGGGUUGCAAAAGAAGUAGGUAGCUUAACCUUCGGGAGGGCGCUUACCACUUUGUGAUUCAUGACUGGGGUG
rnacentral:rRNA from 1 species